GCCUCCACCCACCCAGAAAACGUAUCCACCAGUACCAGGAAGUAUCGGUAAUCUCCAGCAGCGCGGGGCGUUCGGGUGAAGCCCAUCUGCCAGUCUUCCAUCGGCCAUUGCCCUGUGUGUCAGACUCCUCAUUGUGGAGGCCCUGGAGCAGUUUUGGGGAGCGGGUAGAGGAGAGCCUCAGGCACAAGAAUUCUUCCUUGGUCGUUCAUCUUCCAGCCUGUCUGCGGGUCUGAGAGGAAACCUCAGUCUCUUGCACAUUCUGAGUCCCUUUCUGAAUCACCCUGUGGGCAUGGACCACUGAAGAUGCAUAACCGGAAUCUGUAUAAGCAGUCACCUUUUUCCCCAAGAUAGUUGUAAGGCUCGGGCUAGGGCUAUGAUUUCUGCCUUUUGAGUUGAGGUUCCUGGAGGCAGGGCUGCAGCUUCUAAAGUCUCACGUAAAGUCAC